CCCUUAGAUGUUCUGGGCCGCACGCGCGCUACACUGACGAAUGCAACGAGCUUAUAACCUUGGCCGAAAGGUCUGGGUAAUCUCCAAAUUUCGUCGUGAUGGGGAUAGAUUAUUGCAAUUAUUAAUCUUCAACGAGGAAUGCCUAGUAAGCGCAAGACAUCAGCUUGCGUUGAUUACGUCCCUGCCCUUUGUACACACCGCCCGUCGCUCCUACCGAUUGAAUGGUCCGGUGAAGCGUUCGGACCGUGGCCUUUGGACGGUUCGCCGUCUGUUGGCUGCGGGAAGUUCGUUAAACCUUAUCAUUUAGAGGAAGGAGAAGUCGUAACA
rnacentral:rRNA from 1 species